CAGGGUGUAAUGUCCGCAGCAGACGGCCUGGUUCGGAACCAGGAGGAUGGGAGUGUGAUUCUCUCCCCCCUGACCA
rnacentral:tRNA from 1 species